rnacentral:sRNA from 1 species
UCUGAGCGCGCCGUCCGCGCCCACCUGACAGCUGCUCGCUACGUUUUGUUAGCC